ensembl:lncRNA
GAAACAGCGUCAGCGGAAAGUGAGCAGACUCCCAACUCAAUCCUGACUUUCUGACCACUGCCCGCAGUCACCCCCAUUAUUGUGCGACUCAGAAGGCCAAGGAGGAGGUUUCGCUGACCAUCAGAAUACAUCUACCUAGAUUUCCUAUUGUACAAAACUCUCCUCAGUUCAGCCCACAGUUACCUUUCUCCUUUGUUCCCUCCUGGGGAACUCAGAGGGCUCCUGCUGCCAUAGUGAAGCAGGCAGGAGGUCAGAUCUGAGCUGUGAUAGAGCAAGCAGAGUGAGUGAGGGAGUGAAACCUUGUGAGCUGGGGACCCAUCCUGGGGCAACGCAGCAGGAGACCUCCAAUCUGGACCAAGCCAAGUGGGAUGAAGAUCAAAGGCAGGAGGGGGUAUAGGCGGGUAGCUCCAACAAGGAACAGAAAUGGGCAGGGUCCUUUGAAACUGCUUCCAUAUCGGCACUUGUCUGUGUGAACUGACAGACCUCUUUCUCUGAAGGUCUAGCACACUCCAACCUGGGUUGCAUGGCAGAGUCUUGGGUCCCCAGGCUUGCCAUGAUCUCCCCACUCCAGGGCUGAGGAUAUAAGGAUUGGGAAGGGUUCUGUGAAUAUAUCCUCUCCCUCACCCCACACCACUGCAGCUUUGCAGCUUGUUGGAGCUCAGUCCACAGCCACAGUCUGUGGGAUUGCCGCUCUGUGUCCUGGGUCCAUGAAUCCUGCAUGGUGCUGCAUAUCACUCUCAGUGGCUCUGAGCAUAUUACUUCCCACACAGUUGGUCUUCCAAAAGUCUUCAGACAUGCUCAAUAAAGACUCUUUACAUUCCGACCCAAGUCAAUAAAAUCGUGCAGCAGGGACAUGUCCUGAGAGGCAGGACACAGUCCUAGAUAAAGCACUGUCUAGGGAGCUCAAGAUUCCAUGCAAAGCACACUGACAUGGAUAUGCACUGAGCAACGCAAGAUGGGUGGGGUGCAUCACUUCAGUCCCCGUCCUGUGGCCCUAAAAGCAAGACCAGCUGAUCUAUGUUCCUGAAGAGCACUAGACUGGCCAGUCCAAGUAUCAGUCAGGAAUCUCUAUUGAAGGACACAUAGAUUGCCCCCAGUUGCUAAGUACUAUUAUUAAUGGAAGAAUGUCCAUCGUGUGUUCCUAUAUAUUGUGUCUCCAGUGAAAUCCAAGUUGGGUUGCUAGGCUCUCAUUUGGACAGUGCUCGUCAUCACAAGAGAAUGAGAACCACCGUCCUGUCCAGCUGGUUUCAUUUCAGAGCAUCAAAAAGGAAGAGAGCACUAGGUUGAUCAAAUAGCCUCAUUUAGAGUGUCCACCCUCAUCACUAUUGCAACAUGCAUGUUUUAGUCAGCUUUUUACCCCUGUGAACAGAUACCAUGACCAAGGCAACUCUUAUAAGGACCACAUUUAGUUGGGGCUGGCUUACAGGUUCAGAAGUUCAGUCCAUUAUCAUCAAGGCGGGAAUAUGGCAGCAUCCAGGCAGGAAUGGUGCAGGAGAAGCUCAGAGUUCAACAUCUUCAUCUGAAGGCCAAUAGCAGAAUAUUGGCUUCCAGGCAGCUAGGAUGAGGAUCUUAAAGCCCACACCCACAGUGACACACCUACUCCAACUUGGCCUCACCUUCUAAUAGCACCAUUCCCUGGGCCGAGCAGCUACAAACCAUCACAAUGCAUGACACAAUCUUCAGCAAUCGUAAGGACCUGGAUGAUACUCCUUGGAUAGAAGGCCUAGGUUGGUUCCUUCUGGAGGCCCCUGAAGGAGACUGUUGCAAAUCUCUCUCCUAGGUACUGGCAGUUGGUGUUGUUCCUUGGUUCAUGACAACAUGGGUCUAACCUCUGCCUUCAUUUUCACAUAGUGUUUUCCUUUCUAUGUCUCUGUUUCCACAUUUUCCUGUCCUGAGAAAGGCUAUUCUAAA